rnacentral:rRNA from 1 species
GGUUAAGCUAUAAAGGGCGCAUGGUGAAUGCCUUGGCAUCGGGAGCCGAAGAAGGACGUGAUAAGCUGCGAUAAGUUUCGGGUAGGCGCAAAUAGCCUGUGAUCCGGAAAUCUCCGAAUGAGGAAACUCACAUGGGAAACCCCAUGUAUCCUUAAGUGAAUACAUAGCUUAAGGAGGGUACACUCAGGGAACUGAAACAUCUAAGUACCUGAAGGAAGAGAAAGAAAAAUCGAUUUCCCUAGUAGCGGCGAGCGAAAAGGAAAGAGCCCAAACCAGAAAUUUAUUUCUGGGGUUGCGGACAGAACAUAAAUACUAAAUUGCGUUAAUCGAAGAGAACUGGAAAGUUCCACCGUAGGAGGUAAUAGUCCUGUAGAUAAAAAUGCGAAAUAGUCAGUUCUGAUCCAGAGUACCACGAGACACGUGAAACCUUGUGGGAAGCAGGGAGGACCACCUCCCAAGGCUAAAUACUACCCGAUGACCGAUAGUGAAGCAGUACCGU